rnacentral:rRNA from 1 species
AUUGAACGCUGGCGGCAUGCUUUACACAUGCAAGUCGAACGGUAACAGGUUAAGCUGACGAGUGGCGAACGGGUGAGUAAUGCAUCGGAACGUGCCCGGUCGUGGGGGAUAACGCAGCGAACGUUGCGCUAAUACCGCAUACGAUCUGAGGAUGAAAGCUGGGGACCGUAAGGCCUCGCGCGAUCGGAGCGGCCGAUGUCAGAUUAAGUAGUUGGUGGGGUAAAGGCUCACCAAGCCAACGAUCUGUGGCUGGUCUGAGAGGACGACCCGCCACACUGGGACUGGUACACGGCCCAGACUCCUACGGGAGGCAGCAGUGGGGAAUUUUGGACAAUGGGCGAAAGCCUGAUCCAGCAAUGCCGCGUGCAGGAAGAAGGCCUUCGGGUUGUAAACUGCUUUUGUACGGAGCGAAAAGGUCUCCUCUAAUACAGGGGGCUCAUGACGGUACCGUAAGAAUAAGCACCGGCUAACUACGUGCCAGCCGCCGCGGUAA